rnacentral:tRNA from 1 species
UGAAUGUAGUUCAGUUGGUAUAGCUGACUGUCGUAAAGGACGUUAAAUAUAUGCAGGUUCAAGUCCUGCCAUUUACA